rnacentral:lncRNA from 1 species
AUGGCAAAACAUGGCAGGCCAAGCAGCACACCUGCUCCUGCUGCAGCCCAGAGGCACUGUGAUGAGACAGCAGUGACUGACUUCACCUCAGCUAAAGCAGGAAGCGAGGUGAGAUUAGAAACCAAAAUGUCACCACUGGGAAUCAGGCAUGAAUCCUCUGAGCACUGGCAAGCAAUACUGCAGAUGACCCUCAGGUACCUGAUGCAUCAGCAACACCUGCUACAUCAGCAGACAAGGGAACACCACAGUGAAAAUCUUCAGGAGAAGGAGAGAGACAUAGUGAGGGAUUUCAGGCUCCCUUCUGCCGUACCUCAAAGUGGAAGAGACCUUGAAACAACACUAAUAAACAGUUCUGAGGGACGGUACUGGCUAUUUUUGAAACUAUGAAAUCAAAAGCUACAAUGAAAGCCAACGGUUGAAAAGGCAGAAAAUGGAACCCCCGUCUAGGAGAUCCUUUUGUAUCUGAUAUAUAUAUAUAAGUUCUUAUAUAUCUUAUGUAUGCUGGUGACUUGCCUUCUCUUACAUUUUCUUGCAGUGACCUGAAUCAUUUGUUAGCUUCUGUUACAGUUUUUUGACUGUUACCAAUGU